rnacentral:lncRNA from 1 species
CACGAAAUUCGCCGGAACACGCCGGAAUCACCACAACACCAGAAUCAACCGGGACCAUAACCAGGACCACCGAAACCACCUCCAACGACUGUAUUGGAAGAUAAAUGGAUUCAGUUUUUUCAAUCGUACACGUUGGAGAGAAUCAAUCGAAAGAAUCAAGAUCUCAUCCAAGCUCAGGCCCCCAUCACCAUAACGAACCCUUCACACACCUCGAACACUCCCGAGGAAACCAAACGAAACACCCAAUC